rnacentral:rRNA from 1 species
UACGUAGGGGGCAAGCGUUGUCCGGAAUUAUUGGGCGUAAAGAGCUCGUAGGCGGUUCGGCAAGUCGGGUGUGAAAUUUCGAGGCUCAACCUCGAAACGCCACUCGAUACUGCUGUGACUGGAGUCCGGUAGAGGAGUGCGGAAUUCCUGGUGUAGCGGUGAAAUGCGCAGAUAUCAGGAGGAACACCAACGGCGAAGGCAGCACUCUGGGCCGGUACUGACGCUGAGGAGCGAAAGCGUGGGGAGCAAACAGG